rnacentral:rRNA from 1 species
UACGUAGGGUGCGAGCGUUGUCCGGAAUUAUUGGGCGUAAAGGGCUCGUAGGCGGUUUGUCGCGUCGGGAGUGAAAACCAUGGGCUUAACUCAUGGCUUGCUUUCGAUACGGGCAGACUUGAGGUAUGCAGGGGAGAACGGAAUUCCCGGAGUAGUGGUGAAAUGCGUAGAUAUCGGGAGGAACACCGGUGGCGAAGGCGGCCAGCUGGCGCUGACCUGACGCUGAGGCGCGAAGGCUUGGGGAGCGAACGGG